UACGUAGGCAGCGAGCGUUGUUCGGAAUUACUGGGCGUAAAGAGUGUGUAGGCGGUGCUCUAAGUUCGGUGUGAAAUCUCCUGGCUCAACUGGGAGGGUGCGCCGGAAACUGGAGUGCUUGAGCGUGGGAGAGGAAAGCGGAAUUCCUGGUGUAGCGGUGAAAUGCGUAGAUAUCAGGAGGAACACCUGUGGUGUAGACGGCUUUCUGGACCAUAGCUGACGCUGAGGAGCGAAAGCUAGGGGAGCAAACGGG
rnacentral:rRNA from 1 species